CGUGGUUUGAUGAUUCAUACGUUUCUUAAUCAAAAUGUUCAAAGGUGGUUUUUUGGGUCUACAUCUGGGGCUUGCAAGGAGAUCUAGACCACACUCAAUCAGACAGACUCGAACCCAACCGACCCGGACACAGCUCACAAGGCAGCGAUUCCAUCGUCCCCUUCCUCGCGCAUUUUCGUUUUCAUGGCAGGUUUGGUGUAGUUGGCUAUCCUUUGUGGGGAGCCAAUGGUCAUGUCCAGAGACACUAAAGGAACAUUUCCUAAGUUGGACUGAGCUGUCAUCUAGGAAGCAGGAGCGCAAGAGGUGGAUGGUAUGCUUCUGUGCGAUUUUCUGGAAUAUUUGGCUAGAGAGGAAUAGAAGGAUCUUUCAGAAUGUAGGAAAAGGUGUUGAAGAGGUUAUCCAGCAGUCCUUCAUGAAUUAUAAGGAGUGGCUAGGUGUGGAUCCCUUCUGUUGCUGAUGGCACUGCCGGAGGUGACAGGGGAUAUCUAUUAAUGUUAUUUGAGUUUGCUUUUACUGUUUGACAUCUGUUGUCUUGUGCUCCACGUGAUGUGUUGAGCUCUUCCUUUCAAAAAAAAAAAAAACUUAAACUUGGUCUAGAAUCAAGUAUGUUUUUAUCAAGUUGGAAAACACAUGAAGCUUUGCAAGUUGUCCAACUUGCAUAGUCAAAGUUCUAGUAAAAAAUUGUAACUUGAAGAUAAGCUAAACUUAGUUGCAAUCUUUGACUUAGUCAAAUAAUGAGUUGUUAUUUAA